GACGAACGCUGGCGGCGUGCCUAAUACAUGCAAGUAGAACGCAGUUGCGAACGGGUGAGUAACGCGUAGGUAACUGCCUCAUAGCGUGGGAUAACUAUUGGAAACGAUAGCUAAUACCGCAUACUGUGAGCUGGACCUGCGUGGUCUUAGCUAGUUUGUGAGGUAAAGGCUCAACAAGGCGAAGAUACAAAGCCGACCCGAGAGGGGGAUCGGCCACACUUGGACUGAGAAAACGCCCAGGCUCCCACGGGGGGGAGCAGUAGGGAAGCUUCGGCAAUGGACGGAAGUCUGACCGGGCAACGGCGGGGGAGGGAAUAAGGUUUUCGGAUAGGAAAGCUCCGGUGUUAGAGAAGCGGUAACUAACCAGAAAGGGACGGCUAACUACGUGCCAGCAGCCGCGGUAAUAC
rnacentral:rRNA from 1 species